rnacentral:rRNA from 2 species
UAGUUGGCGGGGUAACGGCCCACCAAGGCGACGAUGCGUAGGGGUUCUGAGAGGAAGGUCCCCCACACUGGUACUGAGACACGGACCAGACUCCUACGGGAGGCAGCAGUGAGGAAUAUUGGUCAAUGGGCGCGAGCCUGAACCAGCCAAGUCGCGUGAGGGAAGACGGUCCUAUGGAUUGUAAACCUCUUUUGUCGGGGAGCAAAAGACGCCACGCGUGGCGUUCCGAGAGUACCCGAAGAAAAAGCAUCGGCUAACUCCGUGCCAGCAGCCGCGGUAAUACGGAGGAUGCGAGCGUUAUCCGGAUUUAUUGGGUUUAAAGGGUGCGCAGGCGGAAGAUCAAGUCAGCGGUAAAAUUGAGAGGCUCAACCUCUUCGAGCCGUUGAAACUGGUUUUCUUGAGUGAGCGAGAAGUAUGCGGAAUGCGUGGUGUAGCGGUGAAAUGCAUAGAUAUCACGCAGAACUCCGAUUGCGAAGGCAGCAUACCGGCGCUCAACUGACGCUCAUGCACGAAAGUGUGGGUAUCGAACAGGAUUAGAUACCCUGGUAGUCCACACAGUAAACGAUGAAUACUAAUUGUUCGGGGAGAAUGAUCCCUGAGUGAUACAGCGAAAGCGUUAAGUAUUCCACCUGGGGAGUACGCCGGCAACGGUGAAACUCAAAGGAAUUGACGGGGGCCCGCACAAGCGGAGGAACAUGUGGUUUAAUUCGAUGAUACGCGAGGAACCUUACCCGGGCUCAAACGACACAGGAAUACUUUUGAAAGGAGGUAGCUCUACGGAGCCUGUGUCGAGGUGCUGCAUGGUUGUCGUCAGCUCGUGCCGUGAGGUGUCGGCUUAAGUGCCAUAACGAGCGCAACCCCCAUCGCCAGUUACCAGCAAGUCAAGUUGGGGACUCUGGCGAGACUGCCGGCGCAAGCUGUGAGGAAGGCGGGGAUGACGUCAAAUCAGCACGGCCCUUACGUCCGGGGCGACACACGUGUUACAAUGGCAGGUACAGAGAGAAGCAAUGCGGCGACGCAAAGCGGAACUUGAAAGCCUGUCUCAGUUCGGAUUGGAGUCUGCAACUCGACUCCAUGAAGCUGGAUUCGCUAGUAAUCGCGCAUCAGCCAUGGCGCGGUGAAUACGUUCCCGGGCCUUGUACACACCGCCCGUCAAGCCAUGGAAGCCGGGAGUGCCUGAAGUGUGCAACCGCAAGGAGCGCCCUAAGGUAAAACUGGUGACUGGGGCUAAGUCGUAACAAGGUAGCCGUACCGGAAGGUGCGGCUGGAACACCUCCUUUCU